ensembl:lncRNA
CAAAUGUCCUCAAACUUGUAAGUACAUUUUAAAUUUCUUUGAACACCUGACUUAAUUUAAUGACUUUGUGAUACUGAAAUUUAUAAUAAUGAGUAAAUCUCAAUUCAGGGUGAAGUCUUUUACCCUGAAAAUACCUUCACACUACACUGUGUGCACAAUUAUUACGCAAAGGGAUGCAGCACUCUUGAAAUUGCGACGCUAUUGGGGCCUGACCACAGAACCAUCAAUCGUUUUAUUGCAAAUAGGGUCGCAAGAAACGUUUUGAGAAAAAAAGACUCAAAUUUGCUGCCAAAGAUUUGAGAAGAAUCAAACAUGAAGCUACCAGGAACCCAUUAUCCUCCAGCGCUGCCAUAUUCCAGAACUGCAACCUACCCGGAGUGUCCAGAAGUACAAGGUGUUCAGUGCUCAGAGACAUGGCCAAGGUAAGGAAGGAUGAAACUUGACCACAACUGAACAAAACACACAAGUUGAAACGUCAAGACGGGCCAAGAAAUAUCUGAAGACAGAUUUUUCAAAGGUUUUAUGGACUGAUGAGAUGAGAGUGACUCUUGAUGGACCAGAUGGAUGGGCCCGUGGCUGGAUCAGUAACGAACACAGAGCUCCACUUCAACUCAGACAGCAGCAAGGUGGAGGUGGGGUACUGGUAUGGGCUGCUAUUAUUAAAGAUGAGCUAGUUGGACCUUUUCGGGUUGAAGAUGGCCUCGAAAUCAACUCCAAAACCUCCUGCCAGUUUUUACAAGACACUUUCUUCAAGCAGUGGUAGAGGAAAAAGUCUGCAUCUUUCAAGAAGACCGUGAUUUUUAUGCAGGACAAUGCUCCAUCACAUGCAUUGAAGUACUGGCUGCAUGGCUAGCCAGUAAAGGCUUUAAGGAUGAAAAAAUAAUGACAUGGCCCCCUUCCUCACCUGACCUAAACCCUACGGAGAACCUGUGGGCCCUGCUUAAACGGGAGAUUUACAAUGUAGGGAAACAGUACACCUCUCUGAACAGUGUCAGGUAGGCUGUGGUUGCUGCUGCACAAAAAGUUGAUCGUCAUCAGAUCAAGAAACUGACAGACUCCAUGAAUGCAAGGCUUGUGACAGAUAUUGAAAAGAAGUGUCCGAGACACCUCGGAAUUCUGCUGAAGAUAUUAUCUGUGACAACGGUAAGUGGUACAAGCACUGCAUUCAGUCAGGUUUGUGCUGUACUGAGUGCUUUUAAAAUGAGCAUUAAUUAUGUGCACGAUGAACCAGUUUUACCAGCAGGUUUCACUCAUUCCAUGAUUUAUUUUAUAUUUUCAAAGCCCUCCUCAUGAAUAAAUAUUACAUUUUUAUCUGAACAAAAGACAGAAUAAGUUUGAGAACUUUACCAAGGACUCUUCAACAUUGCAUCUCUGAGAAAAAGUUUCUGCUGCAACAGAAUUUAACACGUUACAAUUUUUCUUCACUGAUUUGACCCAGUAUUUUGUGUAUUAUUAUUAUUAUUAUUAUUAUUAUUAUUAUUAUUAUUAUUAUUAUUAUUAUUAUUAUUAUUAUUCUGUGAUUUCUCCGUUGUAUAUGACCUUUGGUGUUUUGAUUUCUGUUUUUGUAUUCUAGUUCUUAGGUUUUGUUCUGGUGCCCUUCUGUUUAGUAGGUUUAGUUCUGUGCCCACUCUGUUUUCUGUUUUACUUUGGUCAAUGUAUUCUGUUUUGCUUCCUCCCCAUCUCAUCUUUGUAAUUAGUGUCAGCCAUGUCUCCCAGGUGUUUGCUCUUUGCCCGUUCCCCUUCUGUAUUUAGUGUUUGCGUGUGGUCCUGUUCGUCGUCGCGUCGUCCCUCAUACUUGCCUCUGUGUUCUGUUUCAAGCUCAGUUUCUAGCCUUCCCAGUUUAGUUUCUGUUUUGUCUUAUGCCAGCAAUAAAGCUGAGGUCUUUGAGUUCUAAGUUCUUCCUCCACGAGUUUGCAUUUGGGUCCUAUUCCUGCCUUCACACAGCCGCUCCAUGACAGUUCUUCCAUUAGGAGCAUCACACCCAGCACUCUUAAUGCAGUUCUCAAAUCAGUGACGUAUUUCCUCAUCCACAGCAGACCUUCUCAUUGUUUUUGUAAACACCACUUUUGUGUUAAUAAAUUUUCCAUAUGAAUGUCACAGCUCAUCAAAGCAGUUUGUACUUUUGUCAGUCAAAACUGCAGAUUUCUCACUUACCUUGAUACUGUUAAGCACUGAAUCUUGUCUUUUCAAUCAGAUUAAUUCAAACUUUUUGUAUGAACCAUAUGCAUUAUGUGUAAAAGAACAAGUCCAGUUACACACUGUCAGUGGUUUUAGUGAAAUUGGCCUUCAGUUGAAAGUAGAUAGAAAUACAUGCUCACAUGGAGUAUUGCCAAUGGUCUCUCAUGGUACUGCUAAUUACACGGAAGCAUAUAUUAUGCUAAUGUGCUGAAAAUGGAGCAAGGAGAAGGUGUCAUUUACAAGGACCAGGCUAUAUUUUUGUCAUAUUUUAAACAUUUUGGCACGGUUAGAGCCUUUUGCAAACAAAAUGUGGCACUUUUACCAUUAUCCAACAUUGCAUUGCUACAUUGCUAAAGUUUUUCUGAUGCUAAUCAUUAAUCGUUUCAUUUCGCCUUUUUAAACAUAAACACGAAACCUAACAGAGUCAUCAUGUGGUUUCUCAGAAAGAAGCAAGAUGGAUGUGCUGUUUGGUCCAGUGGUGGAGCUCUAACACUGUGAAUGAUCAGACUUACUGAGUCUUUCCACUGAAGCUUCAACUUAUGUCAUUUCUUUGUUGUUUGUAAGUCACAUCAGAAGAGCAUCAGCUGGGUGUGUCACAGUGACAACACACACCAGCAUGUAUCUGUGUGAGGUUGAUGCGGUGUGGGACUAUGUUUAGGAAGUCCACAAAGAAACACAACCUGAUAUUUUAGAAAUGUGUCAUUUUUAUAACCUCUCAAAAUAAAAACAGGAAAUACAUCAGAGCUCUGUCUGAUUUUAGGUGGAUUCAUUUGUUCUGAUGUGAAAAAUGUGCCAUUUUUUAGAAGUACAGAAUAAUUCUUCACACUUUAAAGACAAAUUAAAAGAUAAAGAGGAAAAUAUUAAAUUUAAAAGCCGUGAUGUUGCUUGAGGCUAAAUGGGAUCACUCACUUUGCUCAUUUGGUUCUUUCACAUUUCACUUUCUCUGAAUUCAUCUUAAAAACCUGCUAAUUUUCUCUGCAUAAUUAAAGCUCUAAUUCAUCAUCAUCAUGUUAUAACACUGAAAACAACCUCUGUAAUCUGGUUACACUGGCUACUUUGCUGCUUUUCUGAGAUAAAAUAUGAGAAUCUCUGAAUAUUUACCAACUCUAAAUAUUGGGCACAUUUCUCUGGCUCUGACCGUUUCCUCCUGGCACUGCAGCGUUAGUGUCUAACCUUAGCCACGUUAUUAAGUGUAUACAUUUUUCAUCACUACAUGUUUUCCAUUGGUCUGUCAACAGCAAUAUCCUAGAAAUAAAAUUCUUUUCUUUUUUGCUUUGGUGUAA